UACGUAGGGAGCAAGCGUUGUUCGGAUUUACUGGGCGUAAAGGGCGCGUAGGUGGCCCCAUAAGUCCGCUGUGAAAGUCAAAGGCUCAACCUUUGAAAGCCGGUGGAUACUGUGGGACUAGAGUACGGAAGAGGCGAGUGGAAUUCCUGGUGUAGCGGUGAAAUGCGCAGAUAUCAGGAAGAACACCUAUGGCGAAGGCAGCACUCUGGGACGGUACUGACGCUGAGACGCGAAAGCGUGGGGAGCGAACAGG
rnacentral:rRNA from 1 species